GGGGCCAGUUGAGGGACGCCUCCGGGUGCGGGAAUUUCUCGCUACAUUGAAGACCUGUUGGUGACCUUCUGCUGUUGUUUUUUCUUAUGGUCGGAUUGUUGUCUCUUUGGCACAUUCCCCAUUUCCAUUCUCAAUUUUAUUUUUAUUUACUUGUUGGAAGAAUUAUGUGUGGAAUUAUAUGAGGACGGACAUUCUGUCGUCUGAAGGCAAGACAAGCUUUCCACCUCCCUAUAUAUAAGCGCAAACUACAUGCCUUCUUGUAAUAAGGAUGAAUUGAAGUAUUGAUUGCUCUUUUUCUUACUUUCAAACGUUGGACACGAUGUUCCUACAACCUCUAGGA
rnacentral:lncRNA from 1 species